GGGGAUGUUACUUAUUCGACGACAGGUGAAAUAAUAUACGGCAAGUUGAGAGUGAUCUCAUUAAAUAUCUCCCGCAAUAAGUGCAAAAAACUUCAUUGCUAAAGCUAAGGACCUUUUUAAGGCUCCUCAGUUUGCCCCAGUUGUAGCUUAAAAAUGCUACGACCGUUUCAUUUUAGCAACCUAGGGCUAGCUUGAGACGAUAUUUACUAGGAUAAGAAUAUUUAUCGUUGGGCUAAAUAUUACGAAAAACCUUACCAACUUGGCCAAUGAUUUUUUGUUGAUUUUUUAGUCUUUGGCUGAAACAAAAAAUUAACUAAACUUGUAGAAGUGUGUUAGGCAAUUUGUCAGACAGGGGUGUGAUACCCCUCAUCUCCACCA
rnacentral:tmRNA from 1 species